rnacentral:rRNA from 1 species
GACAGAGGGUGCAAACGUUGUUCGGAAUUACUGGGCGUAAAGCGUGUGUAGGCGGCUAUGUAAGUCGGAUGUGAAAGCCCCGGGCUCAACCCGGGAAGUGCACUCGAUACUGCGUAGCUUGAGUCUCGGAGAGGUUGGUGGAAUUCCUGGUGUAGCGGUGAAAUGCGCAGAUAUCAGGAGGAACACCGGUGGCGAAGGCGGGUCUCUGGGCCGAUACUGACGCUGAGGAGCGAAAGCGUGGGGAGCGAACAGG